rnacentral:rRNA from 1 species
GGAUGCGAUCAUACCAGCACUAAUGCACCGGAUCCCAUCAGAACUCCGAAGUAAGCGUGCUUGGGCGAGAGUAUACUAGAUGGGUGACCCCGGGGAAGAUCCUCGUGUUGCAUCCC